GACGAACGCUGGCGGCGUGCCUAAUACAUGCAAGUAGAACGCUGAAGGAGGAGCUUGCUUCUCCGGAUGAGUUGCGCACGGGUGAGUAACGCGUAGGUAACCUGCCUGGUAGCGGGGGAUAACUAUUGGAAACGAUAGCUAAUACAGCAUAACAGUAGAUAUCGCAUGAUAUCUGCUUGAAAGGUGCAAUUUCAUCACUACCAGAUGGACCUGCGUUGUAUUAGCUAGUUGGUGAGGUAACGGCUCAACAAGGCGACGAUACAUAGCCGGCCCGGGAGGGGGAUCGGCCACAACGGGACUUGGACACGGGUCAGACUCCUAAGGGAGGGAGCAGGAGGGAAAUCUCGGCAAUGGACGGAAGUCUGACCGAGCAACGCCGGGGGAGGUAAGAAGGGUCUCGGAUUGGUAAGCUCUGUUGUAAGGGAAGAAAGAGUGUGAGAGUGGAAAGUUCACACUUUGACGGUACCUAAUCAGAAAGGGACGGCUAACUACGUG
rnacentral:rRNA from 1 species